rnacentral:rRNA from 1 species
AAUACCGCAUAAGCCCACGGCUCGGCAUCGAGCAGAGGGAAAAGGAGCAAUCCGCUUUGAGAUGGCCUCGCGUCCGAUUAGCUAGUUGGUGAGGUAACGGCCCACCAAGGCGACGAUCGGUAGCCGGACUGAGAGGUUGAACGGCCACAUUGGGACUGAGACACGGCCCAGACUCCUACGGGAGGCAGCAGUGGGGAAUAUUGCACAAUGGGGGAAACCCUGAUGCAGCGACGCCGCGUGGAGGGAGAAGGUCUUCGGAUUGUAAACUCCUGUUGUUGAGGAAGAUAAUGACGGUACUCAACAAGGAAGUGACGGCUAACUACGUGCCAGCAGCCGCGGUAAAACGUAGGUCACAAGCGUUGUCCGGAAUUACUGGGUGUAAAGGGAGCGCAGGCGGGAGAACAAGUUGGAAGUGAAAUCCAUGGGCUCAACCCAUGAACUGCUUUCAAAACUGUUUUUCUUGAGUAGUGCAGAGGUAGGCGGAAUUCCCGGUGUAGCGGUGGAAUGCGUAGAUAUCGGGAGGGACACCAGUGGCGAAGGCGGCCUACUGGGCACCAACUGACGCUGAGGCUCGAAAGUGUGGGUAGCAAACAGGAUUAGAUACCCUGGUAGUCCACACCGUAA